rnacentral:rRNA from 1 species
UGGGGAAUAUUGCGCAAUGGGCGAAAGCCUGACGCAGCGACGCCGCGUGAGGGAUGAAGGUCUUCGGAUCGUAAACCUCUGUCGGCAGGGAAGAACGGUCACUGUGCUAAUCAGCAGUGAAUUGACGGUACCUGCAAAGGAAGCACCGGCUAACUCCGUGCC